UGGUAGUUACGCCCCUGCUGUAGGUAUCCAGUUCAUCCUGUCACCAACCCCUUGCCAAGACAGAGAGGAAAAUGCACCCUCUUGGAGGGGCCUGCUUGUCUAUUCACGUUAGGAAGGGAAGAGAUGACUGGUCUACCCAACCCAGGAAUAUCCAUUGCCCACGAAAGAAGGGGAAGGGCUGACAAAGCAAUGUGGAUGACAGAGAUCCCUCUCAUUUUCCUUCCUGCUAGAACUCUGCAGAACUCCCCAGUUUGGGCCACCAUGUGGCGAAACUUGGAAUCUGCAUAAUGGAUUGCAGGAAGGAUGUCAGCCGAUACGCCAGGGAGGGAAUCUACCGGCUCCUAGAGGUGCUUCUCCACCACAAAGGUUUUCAGGGAGAUCUUUAAUAAAGAUCAGGAAAGAUCCUUCCUGAGGACCACGAUUUGGGCCAUUAAUCAUCCCGUCCACAUGGUUAAGGAGGCUGGACUGAUCCUGCUGUACUCCCUCCUGGGCAAGGCCGAUGCACUGAUGGGGUAUGAGGAGGAGGAAAUCCGGAGGAAAAUCUGGCGUCGUCUCCGCCAAAUCAAAGAAAGCAAAGGGCUGCCUGAAGAAAUCGAAGGUAUCUUAAAAAACCAAGGUGACUUACUGAUGGACCUUGGAGUUGUAGCUAAGCCGACUACCCUCCCAUGACACCUUCUUCCUUGUGGGGCAAUAGUUAUGGAAAUGUCUGCUGAUUUGCUUUGCUGUACUUAUUAUACUAAUUACCUUAGGAUGCUGUAUUCAGUGUGUACCUGGUCUGAUUGCUAUGUGUAAACCUAAACUUAAAUUUUGGCCUAACAAAAGGGCCAACGGUAAUGUAGCUCAAUUCAUUGCUUUGCAAUAUCUUGAGAUGCAUGUUCAUGAGGCUUAAUAAAGGUUCGCUCUCUAGUGA